rnacentral:tRNA from 1 species
GGGGGUGUAGCUCAGUGGUAGAGUGUUCGCUUUGCAUGCGUGAAAGGCCCGGGGUUCGAUCCCCCCGCACCUCCA